UACAGAGGUCUCAAGCGUUGUUCGGAUUCAUUGGGCGUAAAGGGUGCGUAGGCGGCGCGGUAAGUCGGGUGUGAAAUCUCGGAGCUUAACUCCGAAACUGCAUUCGAUACUGCCGUGCUUGAGGACUGGAGAGGAGGACUGGAAUUUACGGUGUAGCGGUGAAAUGCGUAGAUAUCGUAAGGAAGACCAGUGGCGAAGGCGGG
rnacentral:rRNA from 1 species